rnacentral:rRNA from 1 species
CCUACGGGUGGCAGCAGUGAGGAAUAUUGGUCAAUGGGCGAAAGCCUGAACCAGCCAAGUAGCGUGAAGGAUGACGGCCCUACGGGUUGUAAACUGCUUUUAUACAGGAAUAAAGCGACUUACGUGUGUGACUUUGCAUGUACCGUAUGAAUCAGGACCGGCUAAUUCCGUGCCAGCAGCCGCGGUAAUACGGAGGGUCCGGGCGUUAUCCGGAUUUAUUGGGUUUAAAGGGAGCGUAGGCCGGUUGUCAAGUGUGCUGUGAAAGGUCCGGGCUCAACCCGGGACUUGCAGUGCGUACUGGCGGGCUUGAGUGCAGGGGAGGCAGGCGGAAUUCGUGGUGUAGCGGUGAAAUGCUUAGAUAUGACGAAGAACACCGAUUGCGAAGGCAGCUCGCUGGACUGGAACUGACGCUGAGGCUCGAAAGCGUGGGUAUCGAACAGGAUUAGAUACCCUAGUAGUC